GGUGACAGAACCUAAACAACUGUGUUGUAUAUCAGACAGCGUUGGAGAGAAGGGGUCACAGGGGACUGAAGCAGAUCAGCCAUGUUGUAGUUCAGGUGAAGAGGCAGUGACAGGAGGUUCUAAUAUGGCUUCUCGUGAACAAAUAUACCCUUAAGUGACUUUAUAGCAAUGUCAUGGGCUGGGGUGUGUUGUACGGCGCAAAUACUCAGUUCCUGGACCGAAAGCACUUGUCCUUGUUAAUACAAACCACAACUGAUCCAGUACAAUAUAGUCAUCUUUGGUGCCAUUGAUGUGUUUUCCCGAAAGAUAAUGUACCUAGGUGCAGCAAAUAACAAUCUAUCAUCUACAGCCUUGGCUUUCUACCAGCAGUCCAUUGAAGAAUAUGGAUUUCCAUUGAGAGUAAGAGUCGAUCAUGGCGUAGAGAAUGUCGGCAUAGCAUGCCUCACGUUCACUGUACGUGGCACAGGAAGGGCCAGCUUUAUUGCUGGAAAGAGCGUGCAUAACCAAAGG